GUCGCUUUUGCUUUUCGGAAGUUAGAGCUAUGUCGGCACUGCCGUUUCAGGGCGGGGUCAUUUUCAGGACUUUCGUCCAGGAUUCAGGUUUCGGCACAUAUGCCAUGCCGACCGCCAUGGUCAAUUUACCCUAAAACAGUUGAGAUUACCUGUGGUAAAUGAAACGCAUACAAACUCAUAUACAGGUCCUAGACUAAAUAUUAUGGUCUCAGAUCUUGCCAUGCAGGCCUAGAAAACAAAUUUUGUUAAACUUUUUCAUUAGCCUUUCCGGGCGUUUCCACCAAG